rnacentral:rRNA from 1 species
UACGGAGGGUGCAAGCGUUGUUCGGAAUUACUGGGCGUAAAGCGCGCGUAGGUGGUUUGUUAUGUCAGAUGUGAAAGUCCACGGCUCAACCGUGGAAGUGCAUUUGAAACUGGCAAACUUGAGUACUGGAGGGGGUAGUGGAAUUCCCGGUGUAGAGGUGAAAUUCGUAGAUAUCGGGAGGAAUACCGGUGGCGAAGGCGACUACCUGGCCAGAUACUGACACUGAGGUGCGAAAGCGUGGGGAGCAAACAGGAUUAGAUACCCCGGUA